rnacentral:rRNA from 1 species
AACGAACGCUGGCGGCAUGCCUAACACAUGCAAGUCGAACGAGACCUUCGGGUCUAGUGGCGCACGGGUGCGUAACGCGUGGGAACCUGCCCUUAGGUUCGGAAUAACUCCCCGAAAGGGGUGCUAAUACCGGAUAAUGUCUUCGAACCAAAGAUUUAUCGCCUUUGGAUGGGCCCGCGUUGGAUUAGCUAGUUGGUAGGGUAAAAGCCUACCAAGGCGACGAUCCAUAGCUGGUCUGAGAGGAUGAUCAGCCACACUGGGACUGAGACACGGCCCAGACUCCUACGGGAGGUAGCAGUGGGGAAUAUUGGACAAUGGGCGAAAGCCUGAUCCAGCAAUGCCGCGUGAGUGAUGAAGGCCUUAGGGUUGUAAAGCUCUUUUACCCGGGAUGAUAAUGACAGUACCGGGAGAAUAAGCUCCGGCUAACUCCGUG